GGGUGCGGUGGCCAUGAGAUUGAGAGCUGGGAGCCGCGGUGCAGUCGCGCAGCUUAGGGUCGGCGAGAGACGGAAGUCGCGCAGCGAGAUCCGAGAUCUGGGGCAGGCGGCAGCGCGUCUCAGCGGCUGUCGCUGCUCCUCCGGCGCGGUACGACCGGUGCAGAUCUGGAAUCGCCUCUCUCCUCUCUUCUGCUCUCACGCCAGCUGCUGCUC
rnacentral:lncRNA from 1 species